CAACAUCUUGUUUUUACAGUGGUUUUCAAGCACACAUCUGUUUUCCUUAAUUGUUUUUUUAAAGUUAUUUAAAGCCCAUUCUCACGCAUAGUGGCCCUCCACUAACUACAACCCUUCCAAGUUGCUGUGGUCUGCUGGCCCGCUGUUUGACUACUCCACAGGUUUAUGAUAAUCAGGAGCAGCUUAGAGAGGAGGAUUCAGACUUUAUUCUGAAUGAUGGUGACCUCACUCUGACAUAUGGUGAUACGACAAUAACUGCUAAUGGUUCUUCUGGCUCCCGCACUGCUACCACUAGCCUUGAUGGCAGGAAAACAAAAAGUAGUUCAGAGGAAGCAUUGGAACAUGAUCUGGGAAUGGGAGAUAAUGAAGUUACAAGCAGGGGCACCCGACUAGUAUUUCCUUUGGAAGACAAUGCAUGACUGCUGCCUCAGUAAAAAUACAGCUGUAGCCCCGUGGAUGGGUCAAGGAAUACUGCAGGCCCCAGUGUCACUUGAGGUGGGAAUGCUUACAGAAUUGAACUAACCUGUCUGUUUAUAAGUGGUUUUACUAAAGUCUGAAGACACCAACCUUGACUUUUUUUUUUUUUUAACUCAAGAUGCUGACAGUGGGUUUUUAAAUGUCUAAACUAGAGAAAUGGGGAAAUUGUCAGUCUCCUCUCACAAAACUGCAUACUGAAUCUAAGUAGAAUUAGCAUCCUGCAGUUCUCUCAUUCAGCUGCAACACCUUUCUGAGAAUAGGUAUGUGAGAAUGUUACCCAGCGGAACCAAGCUAAUUCAGGCUGGGUGGAGUUCUAGUUUGGUUUGGGAAUGAUGGAGGGGAAACCCAAACAAAAGUCUAGUUAUUCUGAGACUUAAAGGUAUGGGUGCAUGUCUGAUUUUUUGGGUGGUCCAGUGUUAAAUUGCUCUCUGAAAAGCUUGAAACUAUGUAUAAAAGGGAACAGUAUGUACUAGGAGUACAGAUGCAUGAAUGCAACAUUUUUCUGGGAUUUGUUACUAUAUGACAAACUGCACUGAAUUACUUCAGGAAAAAGGGAAAACAGCACAACUUCCUCACUGGCAACAUGUAGUAGGUACAGUUUAGAAUAAUUCAGUAUUUAAAGAGGGAGGCAGUGAAUGAUGUUUAGUCCCCUAGCUUUGGACAACUUGAGUAUUACUGUUCGCAUAUUUUCUAGCACAUCACAAGAGAAAACUUCUUAGUGUCCAAGACUGAAAUGCCUGACUCAAGCCCUUACCUAGGCUCUGAUUUAAAAAACCACUUGUUCUCUCAUUAGGUUGUUAAAAAUCAGAUGAAGGAAGCCAGAACCCAGUUUUUUUGAUGGGAGAUAGGGCAGAUAGUGGUAUUACUUACAGUGAAGCUGGAAAGCAGUAUUUGAACAUACAUGAAACCAAAAGGUUCCAUAUUGAGAUGGGAAGUAUCCUGGAAUCUGCUUUGCUUGCUUGUUAGGUGUGAUGGUUUAAACUGCAAAUGUUUUUACUUCAGAAGGGGAAGAUAAUACUAUAAACUUAACCAUUUGUGGUUAUUACAUCUGAAGAAAGGUGUUUAUAUUCAUUCUCUUUUGCAGAGUACAUGUGAACGUUCAGCGAGGCACCACACAAUAUAUAAACUGGGCACAUGGUAGACAUACUAUAGUCCCAUCUGAAAUGUGAAAAGGGGAAAAAUGUCUUUGCCCAUGUUCAUGUAGACUUGCUUUAACUUAUUGCUUAAGGCUUUUUGAUUCCCAGCUCUGUAGCUAUUAGUGACUUCUGGUGUAUUAAAGCAAAUAGUUGAAAUCUAUUCCCUCCUAAACAGCAGCUCAGCUACUGAAGCAUGCGUUAAAAUGGUGUAAAGUUUUACUUUCAUGACUCAAAAUGGUUUAGAAAAUGUUAUUUUUUAAACUGGCAUUUUGUGGCCCACUAUUAAAAUAUAAUAUCAGUUUGCUAAAGUGCAUUUUUUUACCUGCCACUUCAGUUUGUUCCUUUCCCAUAAAAUUUAUCUAUGAAUAAAAAUCCAUUCUGUGUUUUUCCUUAA